AGAGUUUGAUCCUGGCUCAGACCGAACGCUGGCGGCAGGCUUAACACAUGCAAGUCGAACGCCCCGCAAGGGGAGUGGCAGACGGGUGAGUAACGCGUGGGAACAUACCCUUUCCUGCGGAAUAGCUCCGGGAAACUGGAAUUAAUACCGCAUACGCCCUACGGAGGAAAGAUUUAUCCGGGAAGGAUUGGCCCGCGUUGGAUUAGCUAGUUGGUGGGGUAAAGGCCUACCAAGGCGCGUCACUAGAUAAGUCUGAGAGGAUGCUCAGCCACAUUGGGACUGAGACACGGCCCAAACUCCUACGGGAGGCAGCAGUGGGGAAUAUUGGACAAUGGGCGCAAGCCUGAUCCAGCCAUGCCGCGUGAGUGAUGAAGAGCCUUAGGGUUGUAAAGGUACAUUCACCGAUGAAGAUAAUGGACGGUGUGGGA
rnacentral:rRNA from 1 species